rnacentral:rRNA from 1 species
UACGAAGGGGGCUAGCGUUGCUCGGAAUCACUGGGCGUAAAGGGUGCGUAGGCGGGUCUUUAAGUCAGGGGUGAAAUCCUGGAGCUCAACUCCAGAACUGCCUUUGAUACUGAAGAUCUUGAGUUCGGGAGAGGUGAGUGGAACUGCGAGUGUAGAGGUGAAAUUCGUAGAUAUCGCAAGAACACCAGUGGCGAAGGCGGCUCACUGGCCCGAUACUGACGCUGAGGCACGAAAGCGUGGGGAGCAAACAGGA